GACGAACGCUGGCGGCGUGCUUAACACAUGCAAGUCGAACGGUGAAGCGCCUUCCUUUUUGGUGGGUGUGGAUGAGUGGCGAACGGGUGAGUAACACGUGAGUAACCUGCCCCCUUCUUCUGGAUAACCGCAUGAAAGUGUGGCUAAUACGGGAUAUUCUGGGUCUGUCGCAUGAUGGGUCUGGGAAAGAUAUUGUUUCGGUGGGGGAUGGGCUCGCGGCCUAUCAGCUUGUUGGUGGGGUGAUGGCCUACCAAGGCGGUGACGGGUAGCCGGCCUGAGAGGGUGGACGGUCACACUGGGACUGCGCCCCGGCCCAGCCUCCUACGGGAGGCAGCAGUGGGGAAUAUUGCACAAUGGGCGCACGCCUGAUGCAGCGACGCCGCGUGAGGGAUGGAGGCCUUCGGGUUGUGAACCUCUUUCGCCAGUGAAGCAGGCCUGCCUCGUUUGUGGGUGGGUUGACGGUAGCUGGAUAAGAAGCGCCGGCUAACUACGUG
rnacentral:rRNA from 1 species